UACGGGGGGGGGUAAGCGUUGUUCGGAAUUACUGGGCGUAAAGGGCUCGUAGGCGGCCAACUAAGUCAGACGUGAAAUCCCUCAGCUUAACUGGGGAACUGCGUCUGAUACUGGAUGGCUUGGAUUUGGGAGAGGGAUGCGGAAUUCCAGGUGUAGCGGUGAAAUGCGUAGAUAUCUGGAGGAACACCGGUGGCGAAGGCGGCAUCCUGGACCAAUAUUGACGCUGAGGAGCGAAAGCGUGGGGAGCGAACAGG
rnacentral:rRNA from 1 species